ensembl:lncRNA
UGCUCUGCUGGAUCGGGGUCCUGACUUUCUUUUAUUCUAGCAAAGUGUACGUAACGUAAAAACAGCGUCUUGAUGGGCUUAGAGUAUAUAGUUCAAGAGCACUCAGGACAUCCACCACCACCGCCCCUAGAGCCCUCCCAUCUCCCCAGACUGAGACUCUGUGCCAUCAAACACCAACUCCCUGACCCUCCGACCACUAGCCACCUCCCGUCUUGCAGGAGUGCCUUUGGGGAUCAUGCACUCGUGAUAGCUUCAUCCCAGGUCGUCAGGUGAGGUCACAUCCCCCUGUGCCUGCCCAGGGUCCAGCAUACAGUAAGUGCUCAAUAACUGUUGCCUCCCCUUCAUGGACUUGGAUGCUGGCUGACUCCUCUCAGAGCAGGCACUUCAGGCCCAGGAAUACCCGGGCUGUCCUCACAUAUCAGAACACAUCUCUACAGGAAGGUUGUGGGUCUUAUGUGCAUUUGGUUUUGGAAUCAAAUUCUUAGAACAUGAGGUGUGAAUUCAGAGAAAGAAUUCUAGUUGCUGGAGGGCGAGUGGCGCUGCGUCCUGGCAGAGCCCGAGGGGGUGCAGGGUCGGGAGGGAAGGGCCUGGCUGGGGCGGGAGACCCCGCCUUGAGGUGACUGCAGUGUGGGCUGCCGCUGGGUCACACCCACAAUGUAAUGUUCUGGAAGCGCCACGCUUGCGUGAAGACAGAGCCUCCUCCAGCCCCUCCUCUGGGUGUCGCCCCCCAUCCUGGGCCUGCGGCGCCCACCUCGUGUGCCCCCUGCUGACGGCCCCGGGCGUCUCUGCUUUGCCGGCGUCCUCUGCCCGCCAGCCCCCGCUGCCGUCUGGGGCUCCGUGUCCGUUUUCCUCCUUGGCAUCCUAUUGGGUAGAAUAAUGUCCCCCAGACCCACGUCCAUGGAGCCUGUGAACGCGGCCUCGUUUGGAAGCCGGUGGAGGAACACCCCGCUGUGUUGCCCUCCCGGCCUGGGCUCUGCACUGCCCACACCACCCACGCUGCAGGACCUCUCCUGCAGGACCUCUCACCGCGGACCAGGGCCUCUCACCGCGGACAAACCCCGUGAGAUCUUCCGGGGAAGGGCUCGGGGCAGCACCCCAGAGCUCAAAUGAAAGGAAGAUGCUUCAAUAUUUUCUGUUACGGGUGCUGAGUUCCUGUGUCCAACCCUGUCAAAGGCCAUGUGUGCUGUGCUUAGUUGCUCAGUCAUGUCCAACAAUUUGCAACGCAUUGGACUGUAGCCCACCCGACUCCUCUGUCCCUGGGAUUCUCCAGGCAAGAAUCCUGGAGUGAAUGCUAUUUCCUUCUCCAGGGGAUCUUCCCGACCACGGAUCAAACCACGUCUCCUGUGUCUUGUGCACCGCAGGCAGGUUCUUUACUUGCUGAACUACUGCUGCUGCUGAGUCGCUUCAGUCGUGUCCAACUCUGUGCAACCCCACANNNNNNNNNNNNNNNNNNNNNNNNNNNNNNNNNNNNNNNNNNNNNNNNNNNNNNNNNNNNNNNNNNNNNUCCUUCUCCAAUGCAUGAAAGUGAAAAGUGAAACUGAAGUCAGUCGUGUCUGACUCCUGGCAACACCAUGGAUUGCAGCCCACCAGGCCCCUCCGUCCCUGGGAUUCUCCAGGCAGGAGUGCUGGAGUGGGGUGCCAGUGCCUUCUCCGCUGAACUAUUG